rnacentral:rRNA from 1 species
GAUGAACGCUGGCGGCGUGCCUAAUACAUGCAAGUCGAGCGAACAGACGAGGAGCUUGCUCCUCUGACGUUAGCGGCGGACGGGUGAGUAACACGUGUAUAACCUACCUAUAAGACUGGGAUAACUUCGGGAAACCGGAGCUAAUACCGGAUAAUAUAUUGAACCGCAUGGUGCAAUAGUGAAAGACGGUUUUGCUGUCACGUAUAGAUGGAUCCGCGCCGCAUUAGCUAGUUGGUAAGGUAACGGCUUACCAAGGCGACGAGGCGUAGGCGACCUGAGAGGCUGAUAGGCCACACUGGAACUGAGACACGGUCCAGACUCCUACGGGAGGCCGCAGUAGGGAAUCUGCCGCAAAAGGCGAAAGCCUGGCGGAGCAACGCCGCGUGAGUGAUGAAGGUCUUCGGAUCGUAAAAAUCUGUUAUUAGGGAAGAACAAAUGUGUAAGUAACUAUGCACGUCUUGACGGUACCUAAUCAGAAAGCCCCGGCUAACUACGUG